CCGUAUAUCUUCCAAAUAUCCCAAGGAUCUCCCAAAAAGAUCCGACGGUUACACUAGGAGUCGCCGACUCACAGAGGGAGUCGCCGACUCGCAGGGGUAAAAAACAAAAAUACCCCUACAGUUACCCAAACCAUAGGUAUCGCCGACUGUAAGAGUAUCACAAACUCUAGUCGCCGAUUCCGGGUAAAAUAACACUAAAACUGCCCCAAGUGCAAGUUUUCAGGGGGAGUAUCACAAACUCUCCCGACACUUCUGUCACUUCGACCAGAAGUUGUCAAAUUUCAAGGGGGGAGUAUCACAAACUCUCCCGGCACUUCUGUCGUUUCGGCCAGAAGUCAUCAUAUUUCAGGAGGGAGUAUCGCAAGCUGUCUCCAUCGUUAAGGUUCUGAAUUUCAAGGCAACCUUUGAGUGUCGAAUAUCUCUGAUUCGUCGUUUACUCUAUCUCUAGUAACCCGACGCUAUUCUAGAGGUAUAAAUUGUCCAUAAAUUUAACCGUAGGCUGAGCUACGAUUCGUACGACCAAGUCUACGACCAGAGUGGCUAGCAAUAGGGUUAGCAGAGUCUAAUUUACGUCCAGAGUGGCUAAAUUACGACUUGUGAAUCUAGUUUCGGGCCUUAGUUACAAUUUGAAGGGUAAUUUAUAUGAAAGAUUAGCAAAGGAAAAACAAUAGAUAGUUUACCGACAGUCACAUACUUCGAAAAACACUCGUCGCAAAUGUUUGUGUGUCACAAGGGCACAAUUCGCGAGGGGGAGUGUCACAAGCUCUCCCGACACUUCUGUCUAUAGGAUGGAAGUCGUCACAUUUCAGGGGGGAGUAUCACAAGCUCUCCCGACACUUCUGUCUAUAGGAUGGAAG
rnacentral:lncRNA from 1 species